rnacentral:misc_RNA from 1 species
UAAUGGAUGCGUGCAGAAGAUCAAGAAGGCACUGCAUGGAAUUAAUGGUAAGCAAUUAGCAAGUGACUUAAUGGUAUUCCCCAUCGUUCUAACAUUAUCAUCCUGAAAAUUUAACAUAUUCUGAUAUCUAAAUUCUCCUUUUCAACAGGUAUAUAUGAUCUCUAUAUUGACAUCUCCCAACAGAAGUUGACAGUAAUUGGGUGGGCAGAUCCAGAAA